GAUCGAGUUUGAUCCUGGCUCAGAUUGAACGCUGGCGGUAUGCCUUACACAUGCAAGUCGAACGGUAGAGGAGCAAUCCUCGAGAGUGGCGAACGGGUGAGUAAUACAUCGGAACGUGCCCAGUCGUGGGGGAUAACGUAGCGAAAGCUACGCUAAUACCGCAUACGACCCGAGGGUGAAAGCGGGGGACUCGCAAGAGCCUCGCGCGAUUGGAGCGGCCGAUGGCAGAUUAGGUAGUUGGUGGGUAAAACGCCCACCAAGGCGACGAUCAGUAGCUGGUUUGAGAGAACGACCAGCCACACUGGAACUGAGACGACGGUCCAGACUCCUAC
rnacentral:rRNA from 1 species